CCAAAAAUCAAGUCCCAAUGUUCAGAGCCAAUGCGGCUGAGGCAUCCGCAGUUGCCGUGAUUCAUUCUGAUCAAAGUCUUUGUUUCUUUCUCCUAAUUUCUUUUUCUCUUAGCCUGAAACAGUAGUAGAGAACAUAUCUUCUCCACAAGUGUGUGCUAAAUGAACAAGCACCUGAGGUAAAGGGGACGGUGGAGAGCGAAGAGGGACAGCGGUGCCGCGGAGUGACUGGAGGAACGAGGGUACCACAAACAGAAACCGCUGGAGAGGGUAACAGAUCCUAGAAGAGUAUCUUCUCAGAAUCAAGCGGAAGCUGUUAACUUGAGGAAAUGCUGAUGAAUAUCCCCAGCAGAAGAGCCAUCAUGUCGGCACCACCAUCACCAGCAGUCCUUUCUACAGAAUGCAAACUUCACUACUGGACAAGCAAGUUUAGCAUUAGAAGACAAGUCAGAACACAAAACGAAGAGAAGCCGCAUUCUUUGCCACAUUAGCAUUGUACAAGGAACACCUGAACUUGGCAAUGAUUCUGUAAUUAAACAAAAUAAGAAAAUGUAUUUUCUGGUCAAGACAUUGCAACAUAUAUGAGACAUCUGGAGCUUCUGUACCAGAAUUCCCAUUAUUUACCAGUCACCUUUCCAGUCAUCACACAGUGGAAUUUUCAUCUUCUGAGCCCCUUCUCAGUGGCUACAGGGAAAUGACCGAAUAAAAAUAAUGAGAGAAGCUAAAGUGAGAUCAGAUCUGAGCAAUCAUUAUUGACCCAUUUUCUAAUGGGAGCGAACAUAUUAUGCAUGAUAACUCUAUCUCUAAUCCAUAGUGAUGAUCUGUUUAUAUCAAGCGUCUUUACCAUCUUUUAUUAUAUUUAUAUGUAUUUAUAACUUUUACAGAAUUUAAUUAUGGUUGACUGUACUCCCUUCUGGUUAUGAAGAGUUCC
rnacentral:lncRNA from 1 species